AGAAUGCAAAAGAAAUCAAGUAAAGGGGUGAGAGGAAGACUUGGUGCAUUCUGUUUGAGUUUGAGUUAUUGAAGAGGAAGCAAGCCUUUUGAAUUGUGCGCAGCAGAUUUACUUUUUCGGUUCUUAGAGUGAAAAUAAUAAAGUCAGGUAUUCAAUGUGUUCCGAUAGCCGAAAGUGGAUGAUGAAAUCGUUUGUGCAAAUAAAAAUUCCGCAAAGGGUUAUACACAGCUCUAAAAGGAGCUUUGGCCAAGGACUCUGAGAACCCGGACAUAUGUUUAAGGAAGGCGUUGACCAAUGUAAAGAGUAAAUUAACGAAACAAAAAACUAGGCUUACUAACAAUAAUUGUCCUUUAACAG